rnacentral:lncRNA from 1 species
CUUCCUCCUCAGGUCAGGCAUCCGCUGCUCGCGAGUGCCCGGUGCGUCUGCGCAGCCUGUGAGCCCUGGGAGGACGGUGAGUCCCCCUGGAGGCCCACCGGUUAGUGUGUGCAGAGGACUGGCGGCACCCUGUCCGCACCUGCCGUGGGGACCCAGCCUGCGGGUGAGCUGCUGCGUGUGGCCGAGUCCGGGCUGGCAGGUGGCGCUGGGCCCCUGACCCCUGGGCCCGCGGGGCUGGUCCCUGUCCCCUCCCUGUUGGCGACCUCCUAGGUCAUCCCUGGGCAGCCGAUCCCAGAGAGCGCGGUGAGCACGUCGUGGGAAACGAGCGCGAGGACCCGAGAUCUGGGAAGCAGCACGCAUUAGUGGCGCCAGGACCUGGGGGAAAACCCCUCAGUCCCAGCCCCGGGCUCAGCAGGGCCUUUACUUUCAGACGUAACAGCUCUGGGUUACUUCGGGCCAGAGAGUUGGUCGGUUCUAUUAGAGGACGCGCUAUGCCCUCUUUGUAAGGGGUCAAGCUUGUCCUCAAUCUAGGGACUCAGCUCACGCAACUUAGGGACUUUUACUGCACUAAGACCAAAGGGGAGUUCUUCAGUCCCAGUUGUUUUAAUUUCCCUUUUGCUGCGGAGGGUUGGUUCUUCACGACCCUGAGGUUAAAUGUCAGUACACAGAGCUGCUGUUGUGUCAGAGUGCUACGCCAUAGCCUGUGAGCACUUAGGCUGCCAAGUUUCCAUUAAAAAAAAUAAUAAUAAUUUUAGAA